rnacentral:sRNA from 12 species
CAGCAUAAGGCUAGUAUUACCCUUAUGCUAUGUAUGUAGCAUGUAGCA